GACGUAGGUCACAGCGAUCUCAAUGAUAUGUGUGAUUUGUGGUUUCCACACAGGGUAGCGCAAAUGGCUCAUCGAUCCCACAAUAGGUUAUUAGAGCUCAUCAGCACAGGUGGAGCUUGAUUGUGGGGCUGGAUGAGCAAACAGUUUUUGACCAUGAUACCGUAAUGCUCCCGUUCUUUGUCUUUGGAUCUUUUGAAUAAGGUGAAUCGCAAUGAUCGCAAGCAGAGGAACGUGAGUUAUUGAGUGCACGCGUCCAACAGCUGAACCAGUCUACAAAUCCCUCUGCGACUUUAAGUGAUAAAAAGUCACCACAGAGCCUAAAAACCUCAACGUCAUUCGUCACAAAAGUAGGAGAAAAAAACUCGGACUCGAGGAAGUUAACGGGGCCAUGCACUGAGCCAUCUUGGAUGACGGGUCGAAACAACAAUUGUUUUACUAUGACUCCUUUCAGCUGCCCACCUCUCCUUUUCCUGUAAAAAAUAAAUAAAUAAACGGCUAAUAAAAUUAUUGAGGUGGCGUUUUGAAAAGAGAUAACUUACAUUUUAUUAGUAGGCUACAUGGUACAAAGAUGAUUAUGAGCCUUUGAUUGAUAUCCAGACUUUUUUUGCGAAGACACAUUCCUGUUACCAAUCCCCACUUGGAGUGAACGGAGAUAUCUACUUGGCCGCUGAGCACUGGUGGAUUGUGGAAGUUUGCACUGCUCCUGGGGACCUAGGGUGUGACCACGAGGGUUUGCUCACCUUCCUCUGGCGAAGAGGAACCAAGCGGCGAGCGAGUGAGGAGCGCCUUUGUUCUCUUUUCUGACUUUCGCGGGACUUUCCACGGACCUUCACGGACGUUCAUGGACAGUCAUUCUCCUGGACGUCAGACCUUGUCGUCACGGUUGCGACGGAGUUUCUCCUACUUGGUAAAAAUGUUUUGGGAAGCAGUUGAGUUCGUCGGCUAUUACUUCACGACAAUAGUGGAGAUAGAUCGUUGGGGUAAAAUUGUCCCUGGAUCAUCACGGUUCCCUGAUGACAGAGAUCCUCCAGGUGGCGGGCGCAUGGGCAGGAUAUACUACAGGGGAGGGCCCGAUCCCCCAUCAAUGGGAUGAGGAAGGUAAACGCCUACACAUCCAGUGUAGGCGAUGGGCGCAUGGCAUGUUUACAUGUCUGCAAUCAUGGUCCUUGGUUGCCUCUGCCGUUGGCAGAUUUUGAUGCCAUCCUGGGAAUUCCUACAUUGUAGGGGCCAGGCUGGCUGAUGUGGCAGCCGACUUCAGCUCUGCUCUAUCCGCUCACUUGCCUUCAUUCUUUCUGCUUCUCACCAUUUACUAACCCAGUUGUUCAUUUCAAACCCUGAAAUAUACAUUGAUGAUGAAGUUAUGAUGUUGAGUUAUGUAUACAUAUUAACAGCUAAAUUACUAUUUACAUCACAACUGUUUAUUUGAGAAGUUUCAAUUUGACUUUCGUCCUCACCACAGCACUUAUACAGCGCUAGUUAAAUUUGUUAAUGACCUAAGAAUGAACAUGGAUGACAAGAAACUGUCAAUAUUAGUACUUUUAGACUUAAGUGCUGCUUUUGAAACAGUUGAUCAUGACUACAGCAUUAUGUUGGCCUCUUCGGUUCAGUUUUAGACUGGUUUAGGACUUAUUUGUCCGGCAGAGACUAUUUUGUUUCCAUUGGUGACCAUUUCUCGGCUAACACUAGCAUAAGAUGUGGGGUUCCUCAAGGCUCCAUUUUGGGACCUGUCCUGUUUAAUCUGUAUAUACUACCACUGGGAAAUAUCAUUAGAGAACACGUUUUCAUAGCAAUGCCGUAUACACACAACUUUACAUAUCUUUAUCACCCAAUGACAUCAGCCCUAUCGAUAAACUGGUUGAAUGCAUUGAUCAUAUCAACCUGUGGAUGACAAGUUAUUUCCUACAAUUGAACAAAGAUAAGACAGAGGUCUUUAAUAUCGGGGCAAAGGACCAGAGAGAGAUACUGUGUACUAAUUAAAAAUCCCUGGUACAAAACGCCAAGCCCCUAGCAAAACUCUUGGUAUGAUUGUAGUCCCUGAUUUGAAUUUUAAAUCUCACAUGAGUAAUGUAACGAAAACCGCUUUCUAUCACCUUAGAAAUAUUGCUUAAGUGCAACCGCUUCUCUCCCAGGCAGAUACUAAGAGACUAAUGCAUGCUUUUAUUAGCAGGCUUGAUUAUUGUAAUGCACUCCUAUCUGGCCUUCCUCAAAAAGCUACAAAAAGAGGCCACAGAUCAUACAGAAUGCAGCAGCACGUGUACUGACCAAGACCAGAA